UUAUCAAACACAACAUUGCAUGUUCAUCUUGGAGUAGAUACUUCUUUGCUUAGUAUCAGAUGGAUUUUAGCUGUAGUGAAAAUAUCCAUUUCUGAUCAACUCCGUAUUCACAGGUCUAGACAUGUAUCAAGCUGCAAUUAACCUGCGUACUAGUUAUGGUGACAAUGCACAAUCCGAUCAAGUAAAAUUCUCAGGUGCAACCAAGUAUCAAGCCAAGUUCUCUGUUGGCCUACAUACAAACUUGCAAUGAAAAUCUGCUUAACCCAACGUCUCUGGUCCAACCAAGUAUCAAGCCAGCCCAUAUCAAAUACUAGUUCUGGUGGAAGUAUAUAAUUUGCUCCAGCCCAAGGGACUGUUUGGAGGACUCGAUUGAUUGAUUGCCAUGAAGAUGAGACAAAUGGUUUCCAAUGAAUUGUUUGUUGAUGGCGGUUUCUUCAAGACCUGGGAUACUGUUAUACUCGAUGAGGAUGGUUACUAAGUCAUAAUAGGACGUAAGGUUACCUCAUUGUUGUCCUUUGUACUCUCUCUCUCUCACACACACACACACACUCUCAAGGAAAGUGAAAGACAACCUCCACACCUACUACAAAAAAAGGAAGAAUAAAGAACAUGAAAUGACCACCAGCCAAAUCACUUUGUGCAGCUUCUGUCUGUCAUAGAAUGUUGUGUGUUGGGAUUACCAGACAAAGACUAUGGAGAACGUGUUUGUGCAAUUAUUAUGCUUCAGCAUAACACAAAAAUGACUGACGCCUGAUGACUCCAAGCCUACUAUGAGCUCAAAUGAACUCCCCACAUGGGCUAAAGACAACUUUGCUCCAUUCAAGUUAUUGUUCAUGUUACUGUUGAUGGACUCACUGCCUUGGAACGCCAUGGGAGGAAAGGUGGAUUGCAUCUUCAACGCCAUUGCUUCCCAUUUUUCAUUCGAAUAAAAACUUCUCUUGAACUGCAGGUCACCAAAUAAAAAGCUAUUGGAUCUAUUGGUGAUGAAAAGUGAAACAUAGACAUUUGUUCAUAGUAGCAGUAUGUAGUAUAGUUGGUGCUGUCAAGCAAUUAAUUAAGUGAAGAAACAAACAGCUUUCUAAUAAGAAAGUUGUUGAUUUUGGAGUGAGUUGGGAACUAAAUAAUGGCAAUCGAUUUGUGUUGUAGAGCGAGACCACUCGUAAGAGAGUUCAAAAGAGCCCAUUUUGCAAGGACAGAGUUCACUAGAAAGUUGAACAAAACUCAUUCCCUCUUCUCGUUUGUGUCAUCCGUACAAAAACUCAAAGGUAACUUAGAAGAUAGAAUUAAAUUAUAGAAUAUGCAAAUGCAAACUUAGGAUUAUACAUAAAUAAUACAUACA